AGUUUGAUCCUGGCUCAGAGCGACGUUUGCGGCGGGCCUAACACAUGCAAGUCGAACGAGAAUCUCUUCGGAGAGGAAAGUGGCGCACGGGUGCGUAACACGUGGAUAACCAACCCCUGGUUCGGGAUAACAUCGGGAAACUGGUGCUAAUACCGGGUGUGUCUGCGAAGCCAACAGGCUUUGCAGAGAAAGACACGCAAGGGUCGCCAGGGACGGGUUCGCGUCCCAUCAGCUAGUUGGUGAGGUAAUGGCUCACCAAGGCGAAGACGGGUAGCUGGUCUGAGAGGAUGAUCAGCCACACUGGAACUGAGACACGGUCCAGACUCCUACGGGAGGCAGCAGUGGGGAAUAUUGCGCAAUGGGCGAAAGCCUGACGCAGCCACGCCGCGUGAGCGAUGAAGGUCUUAGGAUCGUAAAGCUCUGUGGAGGGAGAAGAAGAAAGCCGGUGAAGAGCCGGCCUUGACGGUAUCCCUUUAGCAAGCACCGGCUAACUCCGUG
rnacentral:rRNA from 1 species